UGCAAGUCGAGCGGUAAGGCCUUUCGGGGUACACGAGCGGCGAACGGGUGAGUAACACGUGGGUGAUCUGCCCUGCACUCUGGGAUAAGCUUGGGAAACUGGGUCUAAUACCGGAUAUGACCGCAGCAUGCAUGUGUUGUGGUGGAAAGAUUUAUCGGUGCAGGAUGGGCCCGCGGCCUAUCAGCUUGUUGGUGGGGUAAUGGCCUACCAAGGCGACGACGGGUAGCCGACCUGAGAGGGUGACCGGCCACACUGGGACUGAGACACGGCCCAGACUCCUACGGGAGGCAGCAGUGGGGAAUAUUGCACAAUGGGCGGAAGCCUGAUGCAGCGACGCCGCGUGAGGGAUGAAGGCCUUCGGGUUGUAAACCUCUUUCAGCAGGGACGAAGCGUGAGUGACGGUACCUGCAGAAGAAGCACCGGCUAACUACGUGCCAGCAGCCGCGGUAAUACGUAGGGUGCGAGCGUUGUCCGGAAUUACUGGGCGUAAAGAGUUCGUAGGCGGUUUGUCGCGUCGUUUGUGAAAACCCGGGGCUCAACUUCGGGCUUGCAGGCGAUACGGGCAGACUUGAGUGUUUCAGGGGAGACUGGAAUUCCUGGUGUAGCGGUGAAAUGCGCAGAUAUCAGGAGGAACACCGGUGGCGAAGGCGGGUCUCUGGGAAACAACUGACGCUGAGGAACGAAAGCGUGGGUAGCAAACAGGAUUAGAUACCCUGGUAGUCCACGCCGUAAACGGUGGGCGCUAGGUGUGGGUUCCUUCCACGGGAUCUGUGCGUAGCUAACGCAUUAAGCGCCCCGCCUGGGGAGUACGGCCGCAAGGCUAAACUCAAAGGAAUUGACGGGGGCCCGCACAAGCGGCGGAGCAUGUGGAUUAAUUCGAUGCAACGCGAAGAACCUUACCUGGGUUUGACAUACAC
rnacentral:rRNA from 1 species